rnacentral:lncRNA from 1 species
CAGCAUUUUGAAAUGCAAAUUCCAAACUCCUGGGAGAGGAAUUAGCAUUAAUCCACUGGAGUCAGUCUAACAGCUUCUUUCUGGGACAGACGAUUUAUGUAACACAAAUGCCACAUCAGCACCAGCCUCCACUUGCCCACCCCCCACCCCCAUUCUCAGGAUAGAACACACAAUCUUCAGAGAGUGUGGUAUGGACUGAGAACAAGUUUCUAUUUUGAAAACAUCAUUUCUGAUCCACAUUAUUUGGUAAAAAGGUUUUUCUGUUUUUAUUACUUCAGGGAGAAUGUGAAAAUGAUACCUCCUGCCAAGCACUUCCAAAGCUAUUCACAUAUUCAAAAGCAAAUGAAGACACCACAGCUAAUCUCUGGGAGACAUCCUGUGCAGCUUGGUGAUGCCCAACAAAUGUAUCAAUUUGGUUGAAACAGAACCACGCAGGUUAUCUUCCUGUAAACAUGCUGAGCAGCCUCUUCCCUGCUUUUCCUUUGUAGUAGACAUUGGUGCUGAUCCCAUGGAAAAUGUCAAGCACACGUUCCAGUCAAUAUGAGCUUUUUUCUGAACACAAAUACAAACACGCUUACUGCCACAUGCACAGAUGCAUUUUUAAAGAAGUAAAACUUAAUUUUUUUUUUUUUUUGAGAUGGAGUCUUGCUCUGUCACCCAGGCUGGAGUGCAGUGGUGUGAUCUCUGCUCACUGCAACCUCCGCUUCCCGGCUUCAAGCGAUUCUCUUUCCUCAGCCUCCUGAGUAGCUGAGAUUACAGCCACCCACCAUCACGCCUGGCUAAUUUUUGUAUUUUUAGUAGAGACAGGGUUUCACCAUGUUGGUCAGGUUGGUCUCGAACUCCUGACCUCGGGUGAUCUGCCUGCCUCAGCCUCCCCAAGUGCUGGGACUACAGGCUUGAGCCACCGUGCCCAGCCUUAGAUACUUUUUAAAAACAGCUGGCAUCCCAGUUCAAAAUGACUGGACAGCACUGUACUCUAUAGCCCAAUCAUUUGUGUCUAAAUAAUUUCUGAGGCUCUGCUAGUGCCAGAUGAACUCAGCUCAGCCUGAUGAUACAGGAGUGCACAACCAUGAUCCAUACCUUUAGAGGGAUUUCAGUUUACUAGGAGGGAGAGUUGAGCAUACAGGUUAUCAAGAUGCAGAACAUGAGUUUUAAGAUGGGUGAAGGACAGAGUGCUUUGAAAGAAUACUUUCUGAGAUAAGACCUGAAGGGAGUUUGAGGGAGGAAUGAGAGACACUCAAGAGGCCAGUGCGGGUGGAGGAGGGAACUCCAGGAAACAUGGUGCAAGAUGAAGUGGAAAUGAAGGUAAAACCCAAUUGUGCAGAGCCCUAUGAAUCAAUGAUUUUCAGGCCCCUGAGCCCAAGCUAAGCCAUCAUAUCCCCUGUGACCUGCAGGUACACAUCCAGAUGGCCAGUUCCUGCCUUAACUGAUGACAUUCCACCACAAAAGAAGUGAAAAUGGCCUGUUCCUGCCUUAACUGAUGACAUUGUCUUCUGAAAUUCCUUCUGGCUCAUCCUGGUUCAAAAGCUCCCCCACUGAGUACCUUGUGACCCCCCAACCCCUGCCCAUCAGAGAACAACCCCCCCUUUGAUUGUAAUUUUACUUUACCUACCCAAAUCUUAUAAAAAUGGGCCCACCCCUAUCUCCCUUCACUGACUCUCUUUUCAGACUCAGCCCGCCUGCACCCAGGUGAAACAAACAGCCUUGUUGAUCACACAAAGCCUGUUUGGUGGUCGCUUCACAUGGACGUGAGUGAAAUUUGGUGCCAUGACUCGGAUUGGGGAACCUCCCUUGGGAGAUCAAUCCCCUGUCCUCCUGCUCUUUGCUCCGUGAAAAAGAUCCACCUAUGACCUUGGGUCCUCAGACCCACCAGCCCAAGGAACAUCUCACCAAUUUUAAAUCGGGUAAGUGGCCUCUUCUUACUCUCUUCUCCAACCUCUCUCACUAUCCCUCAACCACUUUCUCCUUUCAAUCUUGGCACCACCCUUCAAUCUCUCCCUUCUCUUAAUUUCAAUUCCUUUCAUUUUCUGGUAGAGACAAAGGAGACACGUUUUAUCCGUGGACCCAAAACUCUGGCGCCAGUCACAGACUCGGGAAGACAGCCUUCCCUUUGUGUUUAAUCAUUGCAGGGACACCUCUCUGAUUAUUCACCCACGUUUCAGAGGUGUCUGACCACACAGGAAUGUCUGCAUUGGUCCUUCAUGCUUAGCAGCAAGUCCUGCUUUUCUGAGGGAGGGACAGGAACCCAGACCCCUUCUCUCCCUGUCUCUACCCCUUCUCUGCUUUUCUGGGGGGCAAGAACCCCCCAUCCCUUAUUUCCAUGCCCCAACCCCUUAUCUCUGUGCUCCGAUCCCUUAUUUCCAUGCCCUGACCUCUUAUCUCCGCACCCAGAUCCCUUAUUUCCAUGCCCUGACCUCUUAUCUCUGCACCCCGAUCCCUCGUUUCUGCACCCCAAUCCCUUAUUUCUGCACCCCGACCUCUUAUAUCUUUGCCCCAACUCCUUAUUUCCAUGCCCUGACCUCUUAUCUCUGCGCCACAACCCAUUUCUGUGCCCUGACCCCUUUCCCACUUUUCUGGGGGGUAAGAACACCUGAACCCCCUCCCUCCAUGUCUCUACUCUCUUUUUUCUAGGCUUGCCUCCUUCACUAUAGGCAAGCUUCUGUCCUACAUUCCCCCUUCUUCUCCCUUAGCCUGUGUUCUUAAAAACCUAAAACCUCUUCAACUCACACCUGACCUAAAACCUAAAUGCCUUAUUUUCUUCUGCAAUGCCCCUUGACCCCAAUACAAACUCGACAGUGAUUCCAAAUAGCCAGAAAAUGGCACUUUCAAUUUUUCCAUCCUACAAGAUCUAAAUAAUUCUUGUCGUAAAACAGGCAAACAGUCUGAGGUGCCUGACAUCCAGGCAUUCUUUUACACAUCAGUCCCUCCCUAGUCUCUGUUCCCAAUGCAACUCGUCCCAAAUCUUCCUUCUUUCCCUCCCACCUGUCCCCUCAGUCCCAACCCCAAGGCCCUCAGUCCCAACCCCAAGCAUUCCUGAGUCUUGAAAAUCUUCCUUUUCUACAGACCCAUCUGACCUCUCCACUCCUUGCCAGGCUGAGCUAAGUCCCAAUUCUUCCUCAGCCUCUGUUCCUCCACCCUAUAAUCCUUUUAUCACCUCCCCUCCUCACACCCAGUCCGGCUUGCAGUUUCGUUCUGUGAUUAGCCCUCCCCCAUCUGCCCAGCAAUUUCCGCUUAAAAAGGUGGCUAGAGGUAAAGGCAUAGUCAAGGUUAAUGCUCAUUUUUCUUUAUCCCAAAUCAGAGAGUAUUUAGGCUCUUUUUCAUCAAAUAUAAAAACCUAGCCCAGUUCAUGGCUCGUUUGGCAGCAACCCUGAGAUGCUUUACAGCCCUAGACCCUAAAAGGUCAAAAGGCCGUCUUAGUCUCAAUAUACAUUUUAUUACCCUAUCUGCUCCUGACAUUAAAUAAAACUCCAAAAAUUAAAUUCCAGCUCUCAAACCCCACACAGGACUUAAUUAACCUCACCUUCAAGGUGUACAAUAAUAAAGUGGAGGCAGCCAAGUAGCAACAUAUUUCUGAGUUGCAAUUCUUUGCCUCCACUGUGAGACAAACCCCAGCCACAUCUCCAGCACACGAGAACUUCCAAACGCCUAAACCGCAGUGGCCAGGCGUUCCUCCAGGCCCGUCUUCCCCAGGAGCUUGCUACAAGUGCCAGAAAGCUGGCCACCAGGCCAAGGAAUGCGCGCAGCCCAGGAUUCCUCCUAAGCCACGUCCCAUCUGUGCGGGACCCCACUGAAAACCGGACUGUUCAACUCACCUGGCAGCCACUCCCAGAGCCCCUGGAACUCUGGCCCAAAGCUUUCUGACUGACUCCUUCCUAGAUCUUCUCGGCUUAGCAGCUGAAGACUGACGCUGCCUGAUUGCCUCGGAAGCCCCCUAGACCAUCACGGACGCCAAGCUUCGGGUAACUUUCACAGUGGAAGAGUUGAGCUCAAUGCAAGAAGUUCCCAAAAAUGAUGAGUUCCUCAUUUCUGAACACAUUUAAGCAGAGCCUGGAAGAUUACUUGAGAGCAAGAAGGUGACGAGUAAAGGGAACCAGCCGGACUAAGGCUGAGUGUUGAGAAAUCUGAUCUGUAAUAGUGGGAAUUACAUUCACCCAUGUUAAUACAAACUUCCUACCAUAUCGAAGAAACAGAUAAGACCAUCAUGAACAUCCUGCUUAUGCCUGAAGCAGUUGUUAUGCUUCAGAAGACAGAAGCAAUAGCCAAAAGGAAAACCUCCUAAGGAGAGAAGUUGGGUUACCAGCUGCAUGAGGCAGUAAAAGUGGGAUGAUGAACUGCAAAAGACAAUUACAGUUAAGAAAGUUGCGGUAAUGGCAUUCUGAGAUUUUCUUAUCCCAUAAGUUGUGUAUCUAUGUUGUAGUCUAGGUGAAAUAAAGUGACAGGGAAAGGUGUGGUUCAAUAAAUACCAUUUCCUUUAAAUUAGUAAUUCUUGAAUUUUAAUGCGCCCAUAAAUUACUUUGGAAUCUGGACAAAAUGCAGAUUAUGAUUCAACAGAUCUGGGAAACGGCCCCAAAUUCUGUUCCCAGGUGAUUCCAGUACUUCAGGUUUGGGGACCACACUUUGAAAAGCAAUUCUUUCCACUCUGUGGAGAAGUGACUGGCAGGAUGUCAUUGUCGACAGGGAUGUUUUGAGGCAGAAUCAUCUUUGUUUACUCUCAGUACUAAG